rnacentral:rRNA from 1 species
GUGGGGAAUCUUGCGCAAUGGGCGAAAGCCUGACGCAGCCAUGCCGCGUGAAUGAUGAAGGUCUUAGGAUUGUAAAAUUCUUUCACCGGGGACGAUAAUGACGGUGCCCGGAGAAGAAGCUCCGGCUAACUUCGUGCCAGCAGCCGCGGUAAUACGAAGGGGGCUAGCGUUGCUCGGAAUUACUGGGCGUAAAGGGCGCGUAGGCGGACAGUUUAGUCAUAGGUGAAAGCCCAGGGCUCAACCUUGGAAUUGCCUUUGAUACUGGCUGUCUUGAGUACGGGAGAGGUGAGUGGAACUCCGAGUGUAGAGGUGAAAUUCGUAGAUAUUCGGAAGAACACCAGUGGCGAAGGCGACUCACUGGCCCGUUACUGACGCUGAGGCGCGAAAGCGUGGGGAGCAAACAGGAUUAGAAACCCCAGUAGUCC